UACGUAGGGGCCGAGCGUUGUCCGGAGUUACUGGGCGUAAAGCGCGCGCAGGCGGUCUUCUAAGCCCGGCGUGAAAGCCCCCGGCUCAACCGGGGAGGGUCGUCGGGGACUGGGGGACUUGAGGACGGCAGGGGCUGGUGGAAUCCCCGGUGUAGUGGUGAAAUGCGUAGAGAUCGGGGGGAACACCCGUGGCGAAGGCGGCCAGCUGGGCCGGUCCUGACGCUGAGGCGCGAAGGCGUGGGGAGCGAACGGG
rnacentral:rRNA from 1 species